AUAUCCAUAUAUAUAUAUUGGUUUUUUACGAAUUUUUAGUUUAAUGUCAAUUGUAAUUUGUAAAUGAGGUAUGAUUGUCAGUGCAUUGUUUCUUUAUAUUUUGGAUUUAUUUGGUUGAAGAAAUGAUUUGAUCAAUUGUUUUUUACAUUCUUAGCCUUAAGUUAUUGGAGUGAUUGGUAGUGAUCGCUUUAUCAGUAUCUUCCAAAAGUAUUUUAAAACAAAAAAUAAGUUGUGAAGUUAUCCCACAGUUUGUUAAAGGCCCGUGUGAUUAGUUGGUUUAUACUUUAUACCACACCCACAUGCUUAAAUUUGAAGUCUUCUUUUACUUUUCCUUAAGUGAUAAUAUUUUCUAUGAUUUUCUUAGAUAUCAGUGUAGAGCAGCUAUUUAGCCUCAAGGAAGCACAACUCUUGUAUAGGCUUUCUGAUGAGCAUGUUGCGGACUUGUUCAGGGAGCAUACAAGGAAACUGAUUGAGAAACACAUCUCUUCUGCUCUUACUUUACUGAAGUCUAAAACAAGAGCCACGUAUACUCUCUACUUCACACAUAAUUGCCUUUACAUUAAUGUUUGUGUCAUCAAACAUGAUCGAUGAUUUGCUAAAAGUAUUAUAAUAUGAUAUUUUUUAGAGUACUUA